GAAAUGCGAUAAGUAAUGUGAAUUGCAGAAUUCAGUGAAUCAUCGAAUCUUUGAACGCACCUUGCGCUCCUUGGUAUUCCUUGGAGCAUGCCUGUUUGAGUAUCAUGAAAUCUUCUAAGUAAAUCUUUUGUUAACUCAAUUGGUUUCUACUUUGGUAUUGGAGGUCUUUGCAGCUUCACACCUGCUCCUCUUUGUUCAUUAGCUGGAUCUCAGUGUUAUGCUUGGUUCCACUCGGCGUGAUAAGUUAUCUAUCGCUGAGGACACUGUAAAAGGUGGCCAAGGUAAAUGCAGAUGAACCGCUUCUAAUAGUCCAUUGACUUGGACAUUACUUUUAUGAUCUGAUCUCAAAUCAGGUAGGACUACCCGCUGAACUUAAGC
rnacentral:misc_RNA from 1 species